rnacentral:rRNA from 1 species
CCUACGGGUGGCAGCAGUGAGGAAUAUUGGUCAAUGGGCGGAAGCCUGAACCAGCCAAGUCGCGUGAGGGAUUAAGGCCCUGCGGGUCGUAAACCUCUUUUGCCGGGGAGCAGAGGUCCGGACGUGUCCGGGCCGGGAGAGUACCCGGAGAAAAAGCAUCGGCAAACUCCGUGCCAGCAGCCGCGGUAAUACGGAGGAUGCGAGCGUUAUCCGAAUUUAUUGGGUUUACAGGGUGCGUAGGCGGGCAUUUAAGCCGGUGGGAAAAGGUCGGGGCUCAACCCCGGCCUGCCGUCGAAACUGGGUGCCUUGAGUGGGCGAGAGGUAUGCGGAAUGCGUGGUGUAGCGGUGAAAUGCAUAGAUAUCACGCAGAACCCCGAUUGCGAAGGCAGCAUACCGGCGCCCUACUGACGCUGAGGCACGAAAGUGCGGGUAUCGAACAGGAUUAGAUACCCUUGUAGUC